rnacentral:lncRNA from 1 species
AUCGCACAGUGCUACCUCGAGAAGCUUGUAAUGAGUACACAACUGGGUGCAAGUAGUUUCGAAAUGAAUUUGCCUCAAAUGAUUUCUUGCCGAUGAUUACUAUAACCUCUAUUCCAAAAUUCUUGGUACUGGUCAUACCAGCAAUGAAGGAUUGCAUACAUUGAAGACAUAGCUGAAGGCCUUGCGAGAGCUCUGUCAGCCCUUGUACCGGAAAACAGCUGGUCGUAGUCGCUUGUGAAUGAUAUGAUUAAUAGAUACUGCAAAAAUGAAUUGUGCCAUACAUUUUCAGCGCUCUGUGAAGAUGUCUUGGUCAUGUGUUUGAUGCUUGUUUGAUUUAUGUUGUAUUCAGCCAUAAAUCAGAGAUUCAGAACUUGGGUAUGUUUCUGGUUUCCAAAUAAAAAAAUUGCCUUGUGAUGUUAGUGUUCACUGUUUUCACAGGAGAUCAGGUUCCUUGUUAAUGAAUCAAGAAGAAGGCAAGCGCAUCCAUGUCCAAGUUCAAAUGUGUCUCCUCUAUUUUCUAUUACCCGCUCAUUUAUUUUGAUUUCUUCAUUGUAAUUGAAUUAGUUUUUUAUUCCAAAUUAGUCAAAACCUCAUAGAGUCAUUAAGUUCUUUUAGCAUUUAAAGACAGAACUACGAACCAAAUGAUUUAAGUUCUUUGUUGUAUUUGAAUUUGCUUUCCCAUCUUUAGAGAUAUUAUGUUCUUUUUCACUUUUUCGAUUUGGUUAGUGGUGAUUUCUUAAAGACUCAAUCCAUUUGCGUUAAUACAUUUUUCUUUUGCCUUGAUUUCUGUUUCUUGGAGAGUUUAUACAGAUUCUUAUUUUAUGCUGCACAUGCCAUAUACAGAUUCUUAUUUUAUGCUUCACAUGCCACAUGAAAGGUCAAAGCCUUGUGUGUGAUUAGAAUUUACUGGCAUCAUAGUAACUUUAAACCAUUAUGACGUUUUAGUAAUAACAGUCUGAACUCUCCCUGAAGGAUUCAAAGCAUUUUAUUUUAUAUUAUACUCCUUUAUAUGGUUUGGCUGGUCUCCUUUAAGGCAAUUCCUGUUUAAAGUAAUCAAAAUUUUGAUUUCGAAGUGUCUUUCAACACUACCGCUAGUUCUUUAAGAAAACUAAAUCGAUUUUGAGUCUUCUGUAUCAUCUGAUUGAAAUACAUGAAAGCACUCUUAGUUGAAAAAGUACACUUCGGGUUAUAAUAGCAUUCUGAAAUCUCCUUGAAGGAUUCAAAAGCUCUUUAUUUGCUAGUCUUUGCUUGCAAUAAACUCCGUUAAUAUAGAUUGGUUGAUCUUCUUUAAAGCAAUUACCAUAAGUUCUUUAAAUAAUAAGACGAUUUUGAGUCUUCUGUAUCAUCUUGUUGAAAUACAUGAAAGCACUCUUGGCUGUAAAAAUGCACUUGGGAUUAUAUAUAAAGUCUUCAACAAAAUUUUAUUCCCCCUUUAUCCUCAUGGUGGUUUUUUUAGUUGUUUUUUAAGAAAUCGCUUGAAGGUUCUCUUUAAAAAUAAUUUUAACAUAAGCAUUCUUCAGAAGCACUUUAGAUGUCUGGCAUUUAGAAAAUUUUGUUCCUGUGUUCACAUAAUAUAAUAUAUAUAGAAAGCUGAAUUUAUUUAGAAAGCUGAAUUUCUCAUGUGAGACCACUACUUUUUACUUGUUCUGUAGUCCAUUGUCGGCAGCUCAUACAAGGUCUUUUAGCUUUUUAAUACUAGAUAUUUGUAAUUUUAUUUCAAAAUUUUCAUUCAAAUGAUAUGGUAACUAAUGUACAAUAGUUGAUAGGCAUUUUUUUUUUUUUUUUAACAAUGUUCAAAUCAAUCAAUUGCAUCAUCUCAACAUUUUUAUGAUGUCGUGUUAUUUUAAACGAAUUUUUUAUUUUUAUAUAAAACAUACGAUGUUUAACAUCAUUUGCAUGACUUGACCUUUUUUCUUUCCCCUGUAAAUAGCAAGUAAAAUUUACUCAUCCUAUUUCUACCUAAAACUCAUGCAUCACUGUAAAGCAAAUCCAAAGAUUGCGGUGCGAUUUUCUUGGUAAGAAAUCAAUAAUUAGGUCAAGUACUACUACUAAGCGUGCGUAAUUAAUUCUAAAAUACGGUGAUCAAACUCAGACUUCACGCAAGAGGAUAAGUGCUAAACCUCAAUUAGGCAUUAUUCAUUCAGAAUUCAUUGACUGGGCAUUAUUUGCAAGUUGUAGCAUGGGACAGCUAAGAUAAUUAGCAAAUGAUAUGGACCAUACGCACCCAUACAUUUGUGACAUGAAUCUUGGCAUUAAAGGACAGGUAAUGUGUUAAAAUUUAAUAGAGGCCAACUUUUCAUUGAGGUAGUGUUUACUUUUUGGAUUGGAUUGAGAAUCUUGAGGAGUGGGAAUCCUAGGAUUGGGAGUGUGGAGUGAGAGUGGGAGUAGGUUGUUUACUUACACUGAAAUUGAAGCAUGGAAUAGAGAUCAGAAUCCAAUUUAUGUGUUUACUUUGUCUUGGAUUGGGAGUAAAUUGUUUCAAAUUACAAUUUUAUCCUUAUUUAAAGAAUUAUAGUUUUUAAUUACAAAACUAAUAAAAAAUAUAUUUAAUGAAUAAUAUUUAUUUUAUUAUAUUUGUAAAUUUAUUAUAAUUAUUAAUAUUCUUAAUUAUGAACAAUAAAUUAUUUACGGCCAAGGCGGAUGUACGGUACAGCAGUAGUUUGAGCCCAAAAACUAGCCGUUAUGUGUUUUCAGAUGACAACCGGCUUGCUGCUUUUGGAAUCUGGUUAGCCGCUUUAUUUAAAUAAAUAUAAUAAUAUUUAUUUUAUUAAUUAUAAAAUAUUAAAUUAAAUUAAAUUAAAAAAAUAAAAGGGUAAAAAAGGGAGAGGUGGGAGUGUAUUCCCACUCCCACCUCCCCCAAUGGGAGUCCCACUCCCACUCCCCACUCCAAAAAUGGGUGGGGCCCAUGGAGUGGGAUUCCCACUCCCUUCCUAUUUAGAGGAAGUAAACGCUGGAGUGGGAGAAAUCAACACUCCUCACUCCCACUCCAACAAGUAAACACAGCACGAAUGAUUAUCAGAUCCAAUAAGCAUCCUUUGAUUGGAUUAUUUUAAGUCAAUUAUUGGUGGAUUGGGGCCCACAAUCGGGCUCGACCAUAUCACCUACUAACGGCCACCUGUCCUUAUCAUAAAUAGCAAAUGUCACUUGUUUUAUUUUGUAUUUUACCCAAAGCAAAGUCACUACGAACACAAAUGAAAGUGACCUCAAUUUUGGGGGUCAUGAACUUUGGAUUAUUAUGGACACAAGAGACAAGCGCAAUGUUUCUCAUUUAUCACUGGACAAGAUUUAAGUUAUCAACCUAAUAUUAAUAAAUUCUGCUUGAAAAGUAAAGUUUGAAGCUUCAUUUUGCGAAUAUUCAAUGGUUAACAUUUAAGUAAUUAACCUGAUAUUAAUCCAAUUAAACUUUUUAUGUAAUCCAAGUCAAACAUAUAUUGAUAAACCUAAAUUAAUCUAAUUGGACAUAUUAUUUCAACUUGAAAAGGUGAAUCUAUCAUUUUUCAAUUAAUUUUGAAUCAAGUUAUGUAAAAUAUAAGCUUAUUAAAGACAUAUUUGAAAAAUUCAAAUUGAAUUAUUUGACAAUUACAUUUCAACUAAGUUGUACUGCUAAUUAACUUCCUCAACUUAAAAUGUAUUUUUCUCAAUUAAUUCGUAACAAAGAAUGUUAGAUGUUUUGUUCGAAUAAUAACAUUCAACAUCCUUAUUCUUUAUGAUUAUUGCAUAAAAACAUAUUUUAUCCAUUUACGUCACAUAUGUUCCUAAAUUGUAUAAGAAAAUCACCAAAUUUACUCUUGUAAGUUACUAUAUCAAUGAACAUGAAAUUAACUCAUCAUUAAAGUCUCAGAAUGACAUCAUGAGGGCGAUUCGGUUAAAUUUAUUGAUAGGAUUAGAUAUAUGUAUUCUCAAAUAUUAGUAGGAGCCAGGGCCGGCUUUAAAGUAUAUGGGGCCUUAGGCAAAAUUUUUUUGUUGGGCCUUUUUUUAUUUUACCAUUUUAAUACUCAAAGAAAGAUAAAAGACUAAAAAAUUCAUUCGGCUUUUAACUUUUAAAUUUUAAUAGUAAUAAAAAAUAUCUUAAAAAUUUUCAAAAAUCAAACCUAAAAAAAUAACCAAGAAGAUAUCUUUUUUACUUCCAUUAAAAUUAUUACAAAAAUAAACAAACAAAUAAAUAAAAAUAAUAUUAUUUUCAAAUAGAAUAUUUAGAAUAGUAGAAAGUUGAGAUAAUAAAUUGAUUAUGAAAUAAUAGAUAUGCACUUUAUAUUUUAAGAAAAUAUUUUCUUUUUUACAUGAAUUAAUGAAUGUAAUAAUUCUCUUUGUAAAAAAAAAGAGCAAGAAAUCUAUUUAUUUAUUGAUUUUUAUAUUAUAUUACAAGAUUUUAAUGGAAAUUAAAAGGAAUAUUAAAAGUCAAAGAUUUUUAUUUUUUUAGGAAACUUAAAAGGUAAAAAAUUAAAUUUUUUUUAUAGAAAAACUAAUAAUGAAUGAAUUAAUAGCUAAACAAUUUUAUUAAUUAUAUCUCUUGAACAUUAAGGUUACCAAAUAUUGAUUUUCUAUAAAAAAAAUAAUAAUUAUUAGUUGUGGUAUAACUGUUAAUUAUAAAGAUGUCUAAUAGGCUUCUCUACAAUACAUAAUUAAAAAAAAAAGAUCUUUAUUAAUUAAAGAACUAUUAAGAAAUACUAAAAAAAAUGAGGCCUUAAAAAAAUAUAGGGCCUUAGUCAAUCGUCUUGUUCGCCUAUACUUAAAGCCACCCCUGGUAGGAGCAAUUAAACAGAUGCAGCUAUUAAAAAUAAAGAAUUACUUAUCUCGUCAAUAACUAACGAUAUUUUUUAUCUAUACUCAAUAGGCGUCUGAUCUAUAUUAUAAACUGUAAUAUUUGUAGAUUGUAACAAUUAAAAAAAAAAAAAAGCUCCCUAAGACGAAAUGACAAGAGGACUGUUUUGAAAUAGAUAGAUAAAGUAUGCCCUUAUUUGAGAAAAGGUAAAACACUAGGGAUCCAAAUGUUAUUAAAAUCCCAUGCAAAAAAUGCUAGAAAAAACUAAUAACUAACCGAAAAUCCCAGGCGUCAUAUUCCUUUUUACCGCGUUUUAAAAUGCACAACAAUGAUAUUCUCACGAAAGUGGGUACAAAGGUUUGUACAACCAGGGUCUCUUUGUAAAUUAUUUCAAAGUUUUGUGUUAUUUUUUAAAUUUAUGAAUUUUAUUAAUUUUGAUUGAUUGGAGCAUUUCUCCUUCCAUCUCUUCUACAUCUAUUUUUAAAUUUCUUUAAAAUUUUGACUAUAUCUUUAUAGAGUUCUAAAUGAUUAUCUUUUUCAUAAAAAUCUAUAAUUAAAUUAAUCCUUGAAUUUAUAAUCAUUUAUCUUCUUUGAGUCAUAGACCAAAUUUUUUCUUCUAACAUAACUAUGUAUACUCCUAAGCUAUCUUCGCAGCUUAAAUACAUUCUAUCAAAGCUUUCGCAUAUAAAUUGUAAUUUGAGAUCUGCAUCUUGAAUCAACAUCUCUAUAUUAUCCAUUGUUUUACGCUCGAUUUUGAGUUCUAUUAUUAGUCUUGCACCUGUCUUGGAUUAUUUCGAGGGUAGUUAAAAUUGAUUCUAUUAAUGCUAUCCUGUUUUCUUCUUCAAAAGAAUCAAAUAUUUCUGGAUUAUUAAUUUCUUUUAUUUCUUCAUACAAGCGUUCGUUUGCCGUUAAUCUUGUUUUAAUCAAGGAAGCUGUAUAAGCAACUUGAUAUUCUUGACAAAAGUCUAAAUGAUCUAUUGCAUCUAGAAAUUUAUUAAUAGAUCUUUCCAUUUUUAAGAAAUUGAGUUACUAUUAUCACUUCCAAUCUUUUAACAUCUCAGAAACAAACAAGGCCCAACAUGCUUCCGUUUGUAGCUAAAAUAAAAGAAGAGUUCAAAUCACUAACCAGUGUACUAUCUCUCAGAAUUCUGAGAUAGACUCAUUAAUUGCCUCUAACCACAGAGAGGUCCAUGGUCAGUACCACCAUAGUUCCACACAUCAUACAAGAUCACUUCAACGACUGUUCCACAUGGCCCAAUGCAACACACAGCAGACUGUCCUAAUAGGAUAUGUCUAAGUGAUUUUCUUGCAGUUGUCUCUAGAAGAGUGCUUAGUAAUAGAAAAUCUUCUUCGUUUAGUACAAGUAUUGGCAUGUAAGGUUCUUGGUUAAUUUUCAAAAGAUGUAUAAGAUAUCUGGAAGAUGAUAAUUUCACUCAAAAGAGUUUUAUUUAUUUCAUUAUUGAAAUUGUUUACAAAGGAAGGUUAUAGAGAAUAUAGAGGAAAUUGAAGGUUAGACAUUUGAUAUCUUUCCUUUCUUACAUGCUUUCAUUUAUAUAUCUCUCUAGAGAUAAGAUUAUCUCUUCAUAACACAUGUUCGAUCCUUAUGGUGGAAUCUCGAUUUCCUUUUGAUAAGGUGGCCCAAUCUUCAUCAUUGAAGCCAGUAGUUGUCUUCUUUUCAUGUUUGCAGACAACCUUUAUCUGGUUCUGGUGAGCUUUUUCUUUUUU